rnacentral:rRNA from 1 species
UACGUAGGCAGCGAGCGUUUGUUCGGAAUUACUGGGCGUAAAGAGUGUGUAGGCGGUGCUCUAAGUUCGGUGUGAAAUCUCCUGCUUAACUGGGAGGGUGCGCCGGAAACUGGAGUGCUUGAGCGUGGGAGAGGAAAGCGGAAUUCCUGGUGUAGCGGUGAAAUGCGUAGAUAUCAGGAGGAACACCUGUGGUGUAGACGGCUUUCUGGACCAUAGCUGACGCUGAGACACGAAAAGCGUGGGUAGCAAACAGG